UUAAGUGACUAAGCGUACACGGUGGAUGCCUGGGCAGUCAGAGGCGAUGAAGGACGUACUAACUUGCGAUAAGCGCAGAUAAGGCAGUAAGAGCCGUUUGAGUCUGCGAUUUCCGAAUGGGGAAACCCAACUGCAUAAGCAGUUACUGUUAACUGAAUACAUAGGUUAACAGAGCAAACCGGGGGAACUGAAACAUCUAAGUACCCCGAGGAGAAGAAAUCAACCGAGAUUCCGGUAGUAGCGGCGAGCGAACCUGGAUUAGCCCUUAAGCACUCGGUGAAGUAGGUGAACAAGCUGGAAAGCUUGGCGAUACAGGGUGAUAGCCCCGUAACCGACGCUUCAUCGAGCGUGAAAUCGAGUAGGGCGGGACACGUGAUAUCCUGUCUGAAUAUGGGGGGACCAUCCUCCAAGGCUAAAUACUCCUGACUGACCGAUAGUGAACCAGUACCGUGAGGGAAAGGCGAAAAGAACCCCUGUGAGGGGAGUGAAAUAGAACCUGAAACCGUGUACGUACAAGCAGUAGGAGCACCUUCGUGGUGUGACUGCGUACCUUUUGUAUAAUGGGUCAGCGACUUAUAUUCAGUGGCAAGGUUAACCGUAUAGGGGAGCCGUAGCGAAAGCGAGUCUUAACUGGGCGCUCAGUCUCUGGAUAUAGACCCGAAACCGGGUGAUCUAGCCAUGGGCAGGUUGAAGGUUGAGUAACAUCAACUGGAGGACCGAACCGACUAAUGUUGAAAAAUUAGCGGAUGACUUGUGGCUAGGGGUGAAAGGCCAAUCAAACUCGGAGAUAGCUGGUUCUCCCCGAAAGCUAUUUAGGUAGCGCCUCGGACGAAUACUACUGGGGGUAGAGCACUGUUAAGGCUAGGGGGUCAUCCCGACUUACCAACCCUUUGCAAACUCCGAAUACCAGUAAGUACUAUCCGGGAGACACACGGCGGGUGCUAACGUCCGUCGUGGAGAGGGAAACAACCCAGACCGCCAGCUAAGGUCCCAAAGUAUUGCUAAGUGGGAAACGAUGUGGGAAGGCUCAGACAGCUAGGAUGUUGGCUUAGAAGCAGCCAUCAUUUAAAGAAAGCGUAAUAGCUCACUAGUCGAGUCGGCCUGCGCGGAAGAUGUAACGGGGCUAAGCAAUACACCGAAGCUGCGGCAAUGUCUUUUAGACAUUGGGUAGGGGAGCGUUCUGUAAGCCGUUGAAGGUGAAUCGUAAGGUUUGCUGGAGGUAUCAGAAGUGCGAAUGCUGACAUGAGUAACGACAAAGGGGGUGAAAAACCUCCUCGCCGGAAGACCAAGGGUUCCUGUCCAACGUUAAUCGGGGCAGGGUGAGUCGACCCCUAAGGUGAGGCCGAAAGGCGUAAUCGAUGGGAAACGGGUUAAUAUUCCCGUACUUCUGACUAUUGCGAUGGGGGGACGGAGAAGGCUAGGUGGGCCAGGCGACGGNCCGACACAGGUGGUCGGGUAGAGAAUACCAAGGCGCUUGAGAGAACUCGGGUGAAGGAACUAGGCAAAAUGGUACCGUAACUUCGGGAGAAGGUACGCUCUUGAUGGUGAAGUCCCUCGCGGAUGGAGCUGACGAGAGUCGCAGAUACCAGGUGGCUGCAACUGUUUAUUAAAAACACAGCACUGUGCAAAAUCGCAAGAUGACGUAUACGGUGUGACGCCUGCCCGGUGCCGGAAGGUUAAUUGAUGGGGUUAGCGCAAGCGAAGCUCUUGAUCGAAGCCCCGGUAAACGGCGGCCGUAACUAUAACGGUCCUAAGGUAGCGAAAUUCCUUGUCGGGUAAGUUCCGACCUGCACGAAUGGCGUAAUGAUGGCCACGCUGUCUCCACCCGAGACUCAGUGAAAUUGAAAUCGCUGUGAAGAUGCAGUGUACCCGCGGCUAGACGGAAAGACCCCGUGAACCUUUACUACAGCUUGGCACUGAACAUUGAACCUACAUGUGUAGGAUAGGUGGGAGGCUAUGAAGACGUGACGCCAGUUGCGUUGGAGCCGUCCUUGAAAUACCACCCUUGUAUGUUUGAUGUUCUAACUUAGACCCAUUAUCUGGGUUGAGGACAGUGCCUGGUGGGUAGUUUGACUGGGGCGGUCUCCUCCCAAAGAGUAACGGAGGAGCACGAAGGUGGGCUAAUCACGGUUGGACAUCGUGAGGUUAGUGCAAUGGCAUAAGCCCGCUUAACUGCGAGAAUGACGGUUCGAGCAGGUGCGAAAGCAGGUCAUAGUGAUCCGGUGGUUCUGUAUGGAAGGGCCAUCGCUCAACGGAUAAAAGGUACUCCGGGGAUAACAGGCUGAUACCGCCCAAGAGUUCAUAUCGACGGCGGUGUUUGGCACCUCGAUGUCGGCUCAUCACAUCCUGGGGCUGAAGUCGGUCCCAAGGGUAUGGCUGUUCGCCAUUUAAAGUGGUACGCGAGCUGGGUUUAGAACGUCGUGAGACAGUUCGGUCCCUAUCUGCCGUGGGCGUUGGAAGAUUGAAGGGGGCUGCUCCUAGUACGAGAGGACCGGAGUGGACGAACCUCUGGUGUUCGGGUUGUGUCGCCAGACGCAUUGCCCGGUAGCUAAGUUCGGAAUUGAUAAGCGCUGAAAGCAUCUAAGCGCGAAGCGAGCCCUGAGAUGAGUCUUCCCUGACAGUUUAACUGUCCUAAAGGGUUGUUCGAGACUAGAACGUUGAUAGGCAGGGUGUGUAAGCGUUGUGAGGCGUUGAGCUAACCUGUACUAAUUGCCCGUGAGGCUUAACCAU
rnacentral:rRNA from 1 species